AAAAAAGGUAAGCUACUAAGAGCGAAUGGUGGAUGCCUUGACUGGUAAAGGCGAUGAAGGACGUACUAGACUGCGAUAAGCUACGGGGAGCUGUCAAGAAGCUUUGAUCCGUAGAUUUCCGAAUGGGGCAACCCAAUGUAUAGAGAUAUACAUUACCUAUAUAGGAGCGAACGAGGGGAAUUGAAACAUCUUAGUACCCUCAGGAAAAGAAAUCAAUAGAGAUUGUGUCAGUAGCGGCGAGCGAAAGCGCAAGAGGGCAAACCCAGUGCUUGCACUGGGGGUUGUAGGACUGCAAUGUGCAAGAGCUGAGUUUAGCAGAACAUUCUGGAAAGUAUAGCCAUAGAGGGUGAUAGUCCCGUAUGCGAAAAACAAAGCUUAGCUAGCAGUAUCCUGAGUAGGGCGGGACACGAGGAAUCCUGUCUGAAUCCGGGUCGACCACGAUCCAACCCUAAAUACUAAUACCAGAUCGAUAGUGCACAAGUACCGUGAGGGAAAGGUGAAAAGAACUGAGGUGAUCAGAGUGAAAUAGAACCUGAAACCAUUUGCUUACAAUCAUUCAGAGCACUAUGUAGCAAUACAGUGUGAUGGACUGCCUUUUGCAUAAUGAGCCUGCGAGUUGUGGUGUCUGGCAAGGUUAAGCAAACGCGAAGCCGUAGCGAAAGCGAGUCUGAAUAGGGCGCUUAGUCAGAUGCUGCAGACCCGAAACGAAGUGAUCUAUCCAUGAGCAAGUUGAAGCUAGUGUAAGAACUAGUGGAGGACUGAACCCAUAGGCGUUGAAAAGCCCCGGGAUGACUUGUGGAUAGGGGUGAAAGGCCAAUCAAACUUCGUGAUAGCUGGUUCUCUCCGAAAUAUAUUUAGGUAUAGCGUUGUGUCGUAAUAUAAGGGGGUAGAGCACUGAAUGGGCUAGGGCAUACACCAAUGUACCAAACCCUAUCAAACUCCGAAUACCUUAUAUGUAAUCACAGCAGUCAGGCGGCGAGUGAUAAAAUCCGUCGUCAAGAGGGAAACAACCCAGACUACCAGCUAAGGUCCCUAAAUCUUACUUAAGUGGAAAACGAUGUGAAGUUACUUAAACAACCAGGAGGUUGGCUUAGAAGCAGCCAUCCUUUAAAGAAAGCGUAAUAGCUCACUGGUCUAGUGAUUUUGCGCGGAAAAUAUAACGGGGCUAAAGUAAGUACCGAAGCUGUAGACUUGCGCACAACUUAGAUUAUUUAAGUUUAGAAUAUGAGAAACUAAGUUAUAUUUUUACUGAUUUUUAUAGAGUAAAGAUAGAAAUAAAACUUAGUAAAAUCAGUAAAAAUAUUCUUAGGCUAAAGUUAAGUAGUUUAAGUUGUGUGCAAGUGGUAGGAGAGCGUUCUAUUUGCGUCGAAGGUAUACCGGUAAGGAGUGCUGGAGCGAAUAGAAGUGAGCAUGCAGGCAUGAGUAGCGAUAAUUAAUGUGAGAAUCAUUAACGCCGUAAACCCAAGGUUUCCUACGCGAUGCUCGUCAUCGUAGGGUUAGUCGGGUCCUAAGUCGAGUCCGAAAGGGGUAGACGAUGGCAAAUUGGUUAAUAUUCCAAUACCAACAUUAGUGUGCGAUGGAAGGACGCUUAGGGCUAAGGGGGCUAGCGGAUGGAAGUGCUAGUCUAAGGUCGUAGGAGGUUAUACAGGCAAAUCCGUAUAACAAUACUCCGAGAACUGAAAGGCUUUUUGAAGUCUUCGGAUGGAUAGAAGAACCCCUGAUGCCGUCGAGCCAAGAAAAGUUUCUAAGUUUAGCUAAUGUUGCCCGUACCGUAAACCGACACAGGUGGGUGGGAUGAGUAUUCUAAGGCGCGUGGAAGAACUCUCUUUAAGGAACUCUGCAAAAUAGCACCGUAUCUUCGGUAUAAGGUGUGGUUAGCUUCGUACUAGGAUUUACUCCGAAAGCGAAGAAACUUACAACAAAGAGUCCCUCCCGACUGUUUACCAAAAACACAGCACUCUGCUAACUCGUAAGAGGAUGUAUAGGGUGUGACGCCUGCCCGGUGCUCGAAGGUUAAUUGAUGGGGUUAGCAUUAGCGAAGCUCUUGAUCGAAGCCCGAGUAAACGGCGGCCGUAACUAUAACGGUCCUAAGGUAGCGAAAUUCCUUGUCGGUUAAAUACCGACCUGCAUGAAUGGCGUAACGAGAUGGGAGCUGUCUCAAAGAGGGAUCCAGUGAAAUUGUAGUGGAGGUGAAAAUUCCUCCUACCCGCGGCAAGACGGAAAGACCCCGUGGACCUUUACUACAGCUUGACACUGCUACUUGGAUAAGAAUGUGCAGGAUAGGUGGGAGGCUUUGAGUAUAUGACGCCAGUUGUAUAUGAGCCAUUGUUGAGAUACCACUCUUUCUUAUUUGGGUAGCUAACCAGCUUGAGUUAUCCUCAAGUGGGACAAUGUCUGGUGGGUAGUUUGACUGGGGCGGUCGCCUCCCAAAUAAUAACGGAGGCUUACAAAGGUUGGCUCAGAACGGUUGGAAAUCGUUC
rnacentral:rRNA from 1 species